AGAGAGGUGACACAGAGCCCUCUCCAGCACUGGUGGGUGAUGUUGUGGAGCCUCUCAGAACACGGAGUCGUCGAGGACGCUGCAGGAGAGGCCUUCAGCCAGGCUGCCCACCUCGGUCUCCGUGGAGCUGGGGCAGGUCCGUGCUCUCUGCAAAGCAAACACCCCUUGGAGCUGGGAAUUGGGGGGUGGCUUGGGCUGGGGGAGAGCUAAGAGUUCAAAUUGGUGCAUUUAGAGAGGGAUUAACCCAAAAUGUUUCAUGGCUGAGGAGCUCAGAAGCAUUGGGUUUAGCAGGAGGAUUUUCACCCUCUGGCUGAAGCUCUCACAGAGCUGCUCCUUCUCUUUUCCUCCAGCCCUGCAUCCCCAAACUCCCCAUUUGCCACAUUUUACCAUAGUGGUCACACCUCUGUAGCCAAGGACAAGGAGCCCAGAAGGAGCUGGAGGGCACAGAAUCAUAAAAUCAUUAAGGCUGGAAAAACCUCCAAGAUGAUCAAGUCCAACCUUCAGUCAGAUCCCACCACACCCACCAAAUGCUAUCCCAAAGGGCCACAUCCAAAAACUGAGUGGUUUUUGAGCUCUUCUGGGGAUGGUGCCUCCACCACUGCUCUGGGGAGCCUUCUCCAGGGCCUGGCACUCUUGCAGUGAGUGGUCAUGGUUUGAGGAACAGGAAAUUUUCUGAAUACAGGGCAGCAAAGCCAUUUAUGGGGCCACACCCUGGCAGAGCUGCACAAACAGGUGCUGCAGCAGUUGCUGAGCUGCUGGAAGCCCUGCAGGGUGGCAGGUGACACUGCAGGGACCAGCAGGUUCCCACGGGCCACCACCUGCAGGGCUUUCGUCACCUCAGCCCUGUUUACACCAAAUUUAGGAACUGAGUGUCCCCAACAAACAACUUCCCUCUCCCUGGUGGCCUCAGCAGGGACCUGGGUCAUGUCCUCAGCCCUCCUUGCCAGUGCCACCAGCCUUGUGGCCAUGGUGCCAGCAGAAGGCCUCUGGCUGGUGUCACCCACCACGGCCAGCUCACUUGAAGAGAUGGAAAAAAAGGCAGAGCUGCUGCUGAGAAUGUGAACCUGCCCUUGCAAGCUCACGUUUUCCAGCUGCAGCAUUAAUAUUUGCUAUUUCUCGUGUUCUUAGUUGUGAUGCCCUAAGUCAUGGUAUUUUGCACCAUUUAAUUAAAAACAAACAUUAUAUGAUAAUUUUCUAAGCCUGUUUCCUUGACCAGACCAUGGAGUAAGAACAAUAUGCAAAAAAGCAAAUCCCUGUUCCAAGGGGACAAAUGAAAAUCAAGGUGCUGAGCAGCCCUUCCCCUGAGCAGACAAUGAGGGGUUUAUCUCAUCUGUAAGAUAAAUGUAUUUAUCAGAAAUAACAGCAAACCCAGAAAGGCUUAAGUCCAGCUCAACAGCAGGAGCAAAACACUGAAUUGUCAGGCUGAACAAAAGCAGCUCUCCAGGAGCCACCCUGGAAUCUCUGUCCGGCUGGGGAGAAACCGCAAUUCCUGCAGAGGGCAGAGCCACAGGUGAGUCGGAAAUUGAGUGUAGGGAAAAAAUAACCGGAAUGGAGUGUGGAAUGGAGCUGGCAAAGGGGAACCUGGAGCAGAUUCCAGCUGGAGUCUGGAAUGGAGGCAGGAAAAGGAAACCUGGAGUGGAUUCCAGCUGGAGUCUGGAAUGGAGCUGGCAAAAGGGAAAAUCUGGACUGGAUUCCAGCUGGAGUGCAGAAUGGAGUUGGCAAAGGGAAAACCCGGACCGGAUUACAGGCAGAGUCCAGAACGGAGACGGCAAAAAGGGAACCUGGAGCGGAUUUUUGCCAGAGUCUGGAAUGGAGUUGGCAAAAGAGAAAACCCGGGCUGGAUUUCUCCCAGAUUCUGGAAUGGAGUUGGAAAAAGGGAAAACCUGGACAAUACCACUUAACCCUUCUGUCCAUUUUUAACCCUUCCCAAACCACACCAUCUGCAAGCAAAGCCAGAUGCAGAGCUGCAGCAGGCUGGAACCUGUCGUGGGCAAAGGAAGCGGCCACACAGCAAGGCUGUGACAUGAAAAGGCUGGAGGUAAACAAAGAGGAACAAGCAGGAGAACAAGCUCUCCUUGCUCUGUGAUGAGACUGAGGAAGUAUUUGUUUUAGCUCUGUGUCGGAGUGCCUCCCCUGAGAUUCCCCCUGGAGUUUUUCCGAAGCUGGCUGGUGACUGCUGCUCAUGGGGUGCAGAAGAGGGGGGUACCUGCAUGACCACACUGAUUUUGGGGUGUGGAGGGCACUGAGUGCCCUCAUGCCAGAGCAAAUUACUGACACCAUCCUCCUGUGGGCUCACCUCCAGGAGAAAAUGUUAUUCCUAGGGAAGGACAGAAGCUGCUCUCUCCUACAGGCAGAGAGCAAACCAGGACAUUCAGUUGUGGUUUUUAUCAAGACUCUAACCCCAUCAGCCUCUGCAAGUGAGUGAAGGGAAAAGCCUGCCCAAACUGUCCCAGAGGGCCCCUUUGCCUUGCAGCACUCCUCCCAAAUGGUGGGGCUUUAACCCCGAUGCCUGCAAGUACACAGAAAAAUUUAUGGAGCUCUUUGCUGUAAUGAAAUUCCUUAUAAUGGCUGCAAAUCGCACGAAAUUUGAAACGAUUCUUGAAUCGCAGAGUGCACUUCAUGAAUUUUCAAGAGCAGUAAAAACAGAGAGUACUAAUGAAACUGUGAUCUAGGAAACCUGCUCGAUUUUUCUUUUUUUAAUAUCUGCAGGUACAACCCUGUGUUUCAUCUUCUUACACUUCCCCAUCCUCCCAGGGCAGGCUGGGGAUUGGAGAAGGAGCAAGGAGCAGCAGGGAAGGGUGGAAUUAGGUGAGCAGCUCCAUGAAAUUCAGACUAGCAGGGAGGUAAAAUUUUCAUCAUGUUGGCAAAGAGAGAAAAUAAUGAGUCUUUGGGUGUUGGGGAAUUUUAUACUGGAGAGAAACUCCUGGGAGCAACCAAGGUAGCAGCAAGCAGCUGAACCUGGACAAGCUCCCUGAAAUUUGGAUUAAAAUCAUACAAUGCAUUAGUACAGCAUCUCCAGGUUGAGGAGAAUUGUACCCUGGAUUUAUUUCUCCCCCUGUGUGUGUUCCAGGACCUCCAAAGGGGGUAAAUGUAAUAUUCAAGUGCUGUCAGAACUCCACAGAAAACAUGGAGCAGUGUGACUGCUGCUAACUGGUGUUGGUUCUGCUGUCCCAAAGAGAGAGGAGAGAGCUGGAGAUGAUGCUGGAGCCGGGGAGGACCUCCAGCUCCAGCUCAAUCCAUAACAGAAUCAUAAUUCUGGGGUGUUGCACAGGCAGCACUGCUCCCAGCGGUGGAACAAUGGGAAUUCUCACCAACAUAGAUGGUUUCACUCCAGUCACUCCAGGCCCCUGAGGCACGGCAGAGGUGGUUGUGCUUGGCCCUGAUCCUGAUGGAAUAUCUGCUGCUGGCAUCCACCCGCAGCUGGAAACUGUUGGAGGAGAUCUUCAGGAUCUGUCAGGAACACAAUUUGUGCUCUCAGAGAUUAAUUAACACUCAACCAUUCAAAAAAAACCAAAUUUACACCAUGUUUAUCUUUUUAUUGUUUUUAUUGACUGCGAGCUGCUGGCCUUGCUUUGGAGAUUCUCAGUGCAGCAUUUUCAAGAUGGUAAAAACUGUUCUGAGCCCAAAUGCAUAAGCUGAAUAAAUCCAAUUUUGUCCUGCUUUCCCAAGUUCCUUGGGGAUGGUUUGUUGCAGAUUGAAAAGGCAUUGAGGAAAAGAGGAAGGCAAAUUCCAGCUGGAGAGGACAGGAGUGUUGGAUAAUCUUGGAUGCUGGAGGAGCAAUUACCUGCUUGUUGCCUGACUUCAGGUUGAUGAGAUAAAAUUCAUAUUCAAAACAUUCCUCGUGGAAAGGAGAAAUUGGCUUCUCCCACAUGGCCAGGAGGUCGUUUUGCUCCAGGGAUAUGCUGAUGUUUCUGGGAAUAUUCACUUUCUCUGCAAAAAGAGAACCAUACAGAUUGGGGCAGAACACAAACUCCAGGCCUUCCUUGGCUUUUCUUACCUGGCAGAGGUGGGAGGUUUCCCUCCACCCAGUCACUGCUCAUCUGGAGGUCCUGCUGGAGGAGCAAGGUGCGCACGCGGGCGGAGAAGCCGUUGUGAAGCGCCGCUGUUCGCACACUGUGAGUCCUCCUGGUGUCAUACUUGAAACAGAAAAUAUCAAAUAACCACAGGGAAUGGGAGGCAAAAUAAGGGACCUGCAAAGACUGAGCCUCACACUGGGGUAAGUUCAGUGAGUUGAAUGGGGAGCCAGUGUUUAAAGCCAGGAUCCAUCGUCCCCUCGAGAUGAAAACAGCAAUUCCCAAGGCUCGUCCCAGCAGGGCUGUGUCCACAAGGGUGGCUGAGAGGGAAUCUCUGCAGUUCCCAAAGCAUGGGUUUAGAUAAAAGAGAACAGCAGGAUUUAGCCUUCUUAGGAUCCUUGAUUUAUUUUUCUCUUACCUCUUCUGGCUCAGGGCUCAGGAUUUUCACAUCGUAUCUGAUGGUGGAGUUGUUUUGUUCCUGAGCAGGGUUUGGCUCCCAGUGUAACAGCACUUGUCCUAAUGCAGAGACUGUGAGGGUGAAGUUAACAGGUGGCAAAACCUGGACUGGAAAAGAGAAAACAGAAAUAUCCAUCAGUGUCCAAUACAGUGAAUUGUUUACAGCAAUACCUCUUUGCAAGCAGUGAGCAAUACAAGCAAAUAAUUUCAUCUCAAUAUUAUAUUCUCUCAAUAGCUCCUUGUAAAAUAUUUCUAAUAUUUGACCAAAAAAAACCCUUUAAAUAACCAAAACCCAUCAAAUAAGAGUUUAUUAAAACUUAGCUUGAAAAAUGAAAUUUUUACAACAGUUUCAACUAGAAUAUUACUGUGAUAUAUUACAUUUGGCUUGUUAAUUAUGUUCAGAGUUUUCAUCUUGGUUGUCAUUG